AUGAAGCUCAGAAACCUCAUAACCCUUGAUUUGGGAGGGAACAGUUUCAGUGGCACAAUUCCUGAUUCUAUUGGUCAGCUCAAGAGACUGGAGAAGCUCCAUUUGAACAACAACAUAAUGUCUGGGGAGCUUCCAUCAGGUCUGGGCAGCUGCACAAAACUCAUAACCCUUGAUUUCGGAGGGAACGGUUUCAGUGGCACAAUACCUGAUUCUAUUGGUCAGCUCAAGAGACUAGAGAAGCUCCAUCUGAACAACAACAUAAUGUCUGGGGAGCUGCCAUCAGGUCUGGGGAGCUGCACAAAACUCACAACAAUUGACCUCAAGAACAACUACUUCAACGGAGAACUUAUGAAGGUCAACUUCUCCACCCUGUCAAAUCUAAGAAUUUUAGAUCUUCACAUCAACAACUUCACUGGCACAAUUCCAGAGAGCAUCUAUUCAUGCAGCAAUUUGAUCAUGCUGCAGCUAUCAGUCAGCCAUUUCCAUGGAGAGCUCUCGUCAAAAAUAGGAAAUCUGAAGUAUCUCUCCUUUUUCUCGAUUGCCGACAACAAUAUUACAAACAUCACAAACACACUUCACAUUCUUAAGCAGUGCAGGAACCUUAACACCCUGCUAAUUGGGCACAACUUCAGGGGUGAGCUCAUGCCAUAG
rnacentral:rRNA from 1 species